rnacentral:rRNA from 1 species
UACGUAGGGUGCGAGCGUUUAAUCGGAAUUACUGGGCGUAAAGCGUGCGUAGGUGGUUCGUUGUGUCUGUGGUGAAAGCCCCGGGCUUAACCUGGGAAUGGCCAUGGAAACUGGCGAGCUGGAGUCUGGCAGAGGGGGGUGGAAUUCCGCGUGUAGCAGUGAAAUGCGUAGAGAUGCGGAGGAACACCGAUGGCGAAGGCAGCCCCCUGGGCUAAGACUGACGCUGAGGCACGAAAGCGUGGGGAGCAAACAGG